GAUGAGAACGCAGCGAAAUGCGAUACUUGGUGUGAAUUGCAGAAUCCCGUGAACCAUCGAGUCUUUGAACGCAAGUUGCGCCCGAAGCCAUCAGGUUGAGGGCACGUCUGCCUGGGCGUCACAUAUCGUUGCCCAAUGCCUAUUGCAGUGCAAUAGGAAUUUCUAGGGCGAAUGAUGGCUUCCCGUGAGCGUUGUUGCCUCGCGGUUGGUUGAAAAUCGAGUCCUUGGUAGGGUGUGCCAUGGUAGAUGGUGGUCGAGUUAGAACGAUACCGAUCAUGUGCAUGCUCCCCAAAAUAUGGCCUCUAUGACCCACACGCGUCUUUUGACGCUCAUGACGAGACCUCAGGUCAGGCGGGGCUACCCGCUGAAUUUAAGCAUAUCAAUAAGCGGAGGA
rnacentral:misc_RNA from 1 species